rnacentral:rRNA from 1 species
UACGUAGGGUGCAAGCGUUGUCCGGAAUUAUUGGGCGUAAAGAGCUCGUAGGCGGUCUGUCGCGUCUGCUGUGGAAUCCCGGGGCUCAACCCCGGGCUUGCAGUGGAUACGGGCAGACUAGAGUUCGGUAGGGGAGACUGGAAUUCCUGGUGUAGCGGUGAAAUGCGCAGAUAUCAGGAGGAACACCGGUGGCAAAGGCGGGUCUCUGGGCCGAUACUGACGCUGAGGAGCGAAAGCGUGGGGAGCGAACAGG